CCGGAAGUGGUGUAAAGUAUAUCCUGAAUCAGUUCGGGCCUGGGCGUCAAAGAUGGAGGAGCACGCUGGUUACACGAAGCUGCGUGCAAAACUAUGGCCCUUAAAUGUAUAUUAUACUUCUUUUCUAGUGCUAUUAGUGACAUAACAAACUGCUUUUAUUUUAUUUAUUUAAUUUCUCUGAAUCAGCGCUCAUGUGUCGCCGGUUGCGUCAUCAGCAAGACUUGGCUGCGUCGCUGGAAAAAACGCCUAAAGAAUUAAUGUCAAAGCGCCAGCCACGUGGCCACGUGGCCCACACGUGUGAAGGCCUGCCAGCAUUAAAGUGAAUGAACAUCAAAAUAGUUUGGUCAGCCACGGUCAUAAGUCGUGGACUAUUAUUGUGAAGGCCUACCAGCAUGAGGCUUCAUUAAGUGAAUGACUGUCAAACUUGAUUGGUCAGCCACUGUCAUAAGUCGUGGACUAUUAUUGUGAAGGCCUGCCAGCAUGAGGCUUCAUUAAGUGAAUGAAUAUCAAACUAGAUUGGUCAGCCACUGUCAUAAGUCAUGGACUAUUAUUGUGAAGGCCUGCCAGCAUGAGGCUUCACUAAGUGAAUGAAUGUCAAAUGAGUUUGGCCAGCCACGGUCCUAAGUCGUGGACUAUUAUUGUGAAGGCCUGCCAGUACGAGGCUUCUAAUAGUGAAUGAACGUCAAACUAGUUUGGUCAGCCACUGUCGUGGACUAUUAUUGUGAAGGCCUGCCAACAUGAUGCUUUAUCAAGUAUGCCACUUCAGGAUCGCUUGAAGAAUGCUGCUUAACCCCAACAAGGAAUCAAUAAAGUAUCUAUCAAGCAAUGAAACACUUGUCUAGUUGUGUAAUUGUGAGCAUGAAAUGCGGU